rnacentral:rRNA from 1 species
UACGAAGGGGGCUAGCGUUGCUCGGAAUCACUGGGCGUAAAGCGCACGUAGGCGGCUUCUUAAGUCAGGGGUGAAAUCCUGGAGCUCAACUCCAGAACUGCCUUUGAUACUGAGGAGCUUGGAGUCCGGGAGAGGUGAGUGGAACUGCGAGUGUAGAGGUGAAAUUCGUAGAUAUUCGCAAGAACACCAGUGGCGAAGGCGGCUCACUGGCCCGGUACUGACGCUGAGGUGCGAAAGCGUGGGGAGCAAACAGG